rnacentral:rRNA from 1 species
AGCGAACGCUGGCGGUAGGCCUAACACAUGCCAGUCGAACGGCAGCACAGUAAGAGCUUGCUCUUACGGGUGGCGAGUGGCGGACGGGUGAGGAAUACAUCGGAAUCUACUUUUUCGUGGGGGAUAACGUAGGGAAACUUACGCUAAUACCGCAUACGACCUACGGGUGAAAGCAGGGGAUCUUCGGACCUUGCGCGAUUGAAUGAGCCGAUGUCGGAUUAGCUAGUUGGCGGGGUAAAGGCCCACCAAGGCGACGAUCCGUAGCUGGUCUGAGAGGAUGAUCAGCCACACUGGAACUGAGACACGGUCCAGACUCCUACGGGAGGCAGCAGUGGGGAAUAUUGGACAAUGGGCGCAAGCCUGAUCCAGCCAUACCGCGUGGGUGAAGAAGGCCUUCGGGUUGUAAAGCCCUUUUGUUGGGAAAGAAAAGCAGCAGGUUAAUACCCCGCUGUUCUGACGGUACCCAAAGAAUAAGCACCGGCUAACUUCGU